rnacentral:rRNA from 1 species
AAUAGAUACCCAGGUAGUCCACGCCGUAAACGAUGAGUGCUAGGUGUCACGGGCUUUGACCCUCGUGGUGCCGCAGCUAACGCAAUAAGCACUCCGCCUGGGGAGUACGGCCGCAAGGCUAAAACUCAAAGGAAUUGACGGGGGGCCCGCACAAGCGGUGGAGCAUGUGGUUUAAUUCGACGCGACGCGCAGAACCUUACCUGGGCUAGAAAACGUAGGAACCUGGGUGAAAACUCGGGGUGCUCUUCGGAGAAUCUACGGUUAGGUGUUGCAUGGCUGUCGUCAGCUCGUGUCGUGAGAUGUUGGGUUAAGUCCCGCAACGAGCGCAACCCUUGUCGUUAGUUGCCAGCAUUGAGUUGGGCACUCUAACGAGACUGCCGACUUUCAAGUCGGAGGAAGGUGGGGAUGACGUCAAGUCCUCAUGGCCCCUAUGUCCAGGGCUACACACGUGCUACAAUGGUCGGUACAAAGGGCUGCGAAACCGCGAGGUGGAGCCAAUCCCAAAAAACCGGCCUCAGUACGGAUUGGAGUCUGCAACUCGACUCC